GGGAUGAGUGAGUGGAAGAAUAUUUGAGGUUUUUAUGAUACUAUACGUAUGCUUGGUUGGGAUUAAUUCUUGGAUUGAAAUUAUAUUAAAUUUUAUCAGUGAGUGAAAUUGAUUGGAAAUUAAAACUUCACACUCUGAUACUAUAUGAAACAACCUAUGUCUCAUUGUUUUUUUAUAAAAAAUUUGUAAACACUGAUUAUAUGUAAUUUGAAUUAUAGAUGGGAGGACCUCUUUCUUGCUGUCAUUUAUUGCUUAGCUUGUAAUGCAUUCUGGUCACUGAUGAAUUGAAUGACAAAUCGACCGUUCCUAUAGCAAGUGGCAAAUAAUUUGAUGGUUGGUACCGAAGGUCACAAGUUCGAAUCCUAAUUGAUUCACAUUUCUAGCUAAAUUUAUUUUUAGAAAAAAUAAACAAAGCGAAUAGCAUGCUACUUUUCUCUCUAAAAAAAAAAGAAGAAUUUAAGGACAACUUAUUUAAAAUAAAUUUCUUAGAAUACAUAUAAAAUUGCAAGCAAUCCACCAUUCCUUCUUAUGCAAAUUUAUAUAGAAAUUCAGUCUAAAAAAUCAAAGAAGCGGCAAUGAUCGUUGCUAAACAAAGCCUUAAUUUUUUUUCAAAAUCAUGUUUGUAUAUGGGAAUAAUUAUGUACAUAUCGAUGCUAAAAGUUUUCGUUUUGAUUGCGUGGCUUGUUACACCUUUCGGUGGUCAAGUUUGAUCUUUUGAAUCGAGAUGAGAGUUAAUUAAAAUGGUGUAACUCAGAGCUAUAUAUAUGUAACAGAGGUAAACAUAUUAAAAAGUAUCUGUGUUACGCUCUCUACCCUCCUAAAAUUAAAUUUUCAUAAUAGAGUUCAAAUUGCUAACUCAUGAUUGGCUAAAUUAUAUUUUAUAACAAGAAAAUAGUGAUAACCAAACUUCAAGUUACAGAUGAACAAAUACAAACUACACCGACUAUUCUUAAAACAAGUGGCAAAGCGCUUGGUGAUUGAUACCCGAGAUCCAAGUUCAAAUCCUAGUUGAUUCACAUUUUCAGCUAAGUUUUUUUCUAAAUGAAAUAAACGAAACGGGUAGUGUGCUAUCUAUAUCUCAAAAAAAAAAAAAACAAAUACAAACUACGAAAAGGUAAUUAGAUGGGAGCUGAUUUUUUCUUUUGUGGCGAGGAUGAAACUGAGCCUGGACCUGCUGGAUAGAACAAUCCUUUAGGUUUGACAUUGGAUACGCAAAAUUGAGCUUCGGGUUGGGGCCAAACUGUGAAAUUUAGGCCCCAAAUAGUAUUGAACCGGUUCGAGUUUAUCAAACCCCGGUUCGAGCCUAGCCCGAAGCCCAAAACUUUGAGUUUUGUUGUGACUGUGUGCGCGCGUAUGUUAUGAACAGGUUGUGCACAUAUACACAUACAAAAGUAUAUAUAUAUAUAUAUAUAUAUAUAUAUGUAUACACACACUAUUACAUAGCGUAUUGUAUUAAUAGUUCUAUAUAGUAUUUCUAUAUAUUUGUAUUACACAUGUAUUAAUGUUUUGGGAAAAUUUCAUAGGUACCCCUGUGGGAGACUGAAAUUUCAUCAAUAACCCUCUAAAGUUGAAAAUAUCAUGAAUGCCCUUCUAAAUUCAAAAAAUACUCAUGAAUGCCCCUACUGUUAACCGGCCGUCAAAAUCUAACCGAAUAAAUUAUAAAUGCCAUUUUUACCCCUGUACAGUUCAUUUAAGUAUAGAAAGCCUAAUUAGUAUAUUAACACUAUUCAUAAAUGCCCUCUUACCUUAGCAUUAAUUAGUUAUUUCCCGCCAAAUAUAUCAUUCUAACUUUUGGGAAGAAAUUUGUCAUUCUAUAUUUUAACUCUUAUUUAACUAUAUUUUAAUCNAUGAUAAUAUACAUAUGCUUGGUUGGGAUUAAUUCUUGGAUUGAAAUUAUAUUAAAUUUUAUCAGUGAGUGAAAUUGAUUGGAAAUUACAACUUCACACUCCGAUACUAUAUGAAACAACCUAUGUCUCAUUGUUUUUUUAUAAAAAAUUUGUAAACACUGAUUAUAUGUAAUUUGAAGUAUAGACGGGAGGACCUCUUUCUUGCUGUCAUUUAUUGCUUCGCUUGUAAUGCAUUCUGGUCACUGAUGAAUUGAAUGACAAAUCGACCGUUUCUAGAGCAAGUGGCAAAUAAUUUGAUGGUUGGUACCGAAGAUCACAAGUUCGAAUCCUAAUUGAUUCACAUUUCCAGCUAAAUUUAUUUUUAGAAAAAAUAAACGAAGCGAAUAGCAUGCUGCUUUUCUCUCUAAAAAAAAAAUAGAAGA
rnacentral:lncRNA from 1 species